rnacentral:rRNA from 1 species
AUUGAACGCUGGCGGCAGGCCUAACACAUGCAAGUCGAGCGGUAGCACAGAGAGCUUGCUCUCGGGUGACGAGCGGCGGACGGGUGAGUAAUGUCUGGGAAACUGCCUGAUGGAGGGGGAUAACUACUGGAAACGGUAGCUAAUACCGCAUAACGUCGCAAGACCAAAGUGGGGGACCUUCGGGCCUCAUGCCAUCAGAUGUGCCCAGAUGGGAUUAGCUAGUAGGUGGGGUAACGGCUCACCUAGGCGACGAUCCCUAGCUGGUCUGAGAGGAUGACCAGCCACACUGGAACUGAGACACGGUCCAGACUCCUACGGGAGGCAGCAGUGGGGAAUAUUGCACAAUGGGCGCAAGCCUGAUGCAGCCAUGCCGCGUGUGUGAAGAAGGCCUUCGGGUUGUAAAGCACUUUCAGCGGGGAGGAAGGCGGUGAGGUUAAUAACCUCAUCGAUUGACGUUACCCGCAGAAGAAGCACCGGCUAACUCCGUGCCAGCAGCCGCGGUAAUACGGAGGGUGCAAGCGUUAAUCGGAAUUACUGGGCGUAAAGCGCACGCAGGCGGUCUGUCAAGUCGGAUGUGAAAUCCCCGGGCUCAACCUGGGAACUGCAUUCGAAACUGGCAGGCUAGAGUCUUGUAGAGGGGGGUAGAAUUCCAGGUGUAGCGGUGAAAUGCGUAGAGAUCUGGAGGAAUACCGGUGGCGAAGGCGGCCCCCUGGACAAAGACUGACGCUCAGGUGCGAAAGCGUGGGGAGCAAACAGGAUUAGAUACCCUGGUAGUCCACGCCGUAAACGAUGUCGAUUUGGAGGUUGUGCCCUUGAGGCGUGGCUUCCGGAGCUAACGCGUUAAAUCGACCGCCUGGGGAGUACGGCCGCAAGGUUAAAACUCAAAUGAAUUGACGGGGGCCCGCACAAGCGGUGGAGCAUGUGGUUUAAUUCGAUGCAACGCGAAGAACCCUACCUGGUCUUGACAUCCACAGAACUUUCCAGAGAUGGAUUGGUGCCUUCGGGAACUGUGAGACAGGUGCUGCAUGGCUGUCGUCAGCUCGUGUUGUGAAAUGUUGGGUUAAGUCCCGCAACGAGCGCAACCCUUAUCCUUUGUUGCCAGCGGUCCGGCCGGGAACUCAAAGGAGACUGCCAGUGAUAAACUGGAGGAAGGUGGGGAUGACGUCAAGUCAUCAUGGCCCUUACGACCAGGGCUACACACGUGCUACAAUGGCAUAUACAAAGAGAAGCGACCUCGCGAGAGCAAGCGGACCUCAUAAAGUAUGUCGUAGUCCGGAUUGGAGUCUGCAACUCGACUCCAUGAAGUCGGAAUCGCUAGUAAUCGUAGAUCAGAAUGCUACGGUGAAUACGUUCCCGGGCCU